AGGUAGAAAGAGAGAGAGAGAGAGAGUUAUCAGAAAGAAAGAAAAGAAGAAAGGGAAGAGUAGAGAAGAGGAAAAGAGAAGAAAGAAGAAGAGAGAAAGAAGGAAGAAAGGCUUUGAGGAAAAGAAGGAAAAGCUCAUCAUCACCAUUUUCUACUCAUCAUCCUCACCAAACUUCAUCAUCUUCUUCUACUAGGUGAGUUCUAGUUAGAAACUCUAGGUUUCUAGAAGAUUAGGGUUAUAGAAUCAUAAAAAAACAU
rnacentral:lncRNA from 1 species